UCAAACUUGGUCAUUUAGAGGAAGUAAAAGUCGUAACAAGGUCUCCGUAGGUGAACCUGCGGAGGGAUCAUUACAAGAACGCCCGGGCUUCGGCCUGGUUAUUCAUAACCCUUUGUUGUCCGACUCUGUUGCCUCCGGGGCGACCCUGCCUUCGGGCGGGGGCUCCGGGUGGACACUUCAAACUCUUGCGUAACUUUGCAGUCUGAGUAAACUUAAUUAAUAAAUUAAAACUUUUAACAACGGAUCUCUUGGUUCUGGCAUCGAUGAAGAACGCAGC
rnacentral:misc_RNA from 1 species